rnacentral:rRNA from 1 species
UACGUAGGGUGCAAGCGUUAAUCGGAAUUACUGGGCGUAAAGCGUGCGCAGGCGGUUGUGCAAGACAGAUGUGAAAUCCCCGGGCUUAACCUGGGAAUGGCAUUUGUGACUGCACGGCUAGAGUGUGUCAGAGGGGGGGUAGAAUUCCACGUGUAGCAGUGAAAUGCGUAGAUAUGUGGAGGAAUACCGAUGGCGAAGGCAGCCCCCUGGGAUAACACUGACGCUCAUGCACGAAAGCGUGGGGAGCAAACAGG